rnacentral:misc_RNA from 1 species
GAAAUUUCAGCGUCUGAUUUUAUUCAAUAUCAAGAGUAAAUCUUGCCACAAAACAUCUUGGCGCGUUCCUUACUCAAAUAUGACAGCAAUUGGGAUUCUAACAAUGUAUCCGUCAGCUACCCAAUUCAAGUAUCCCUGAGCAAAUGGUGCACCAUAGUUGUAUCCAUUUUUGCUAAAUGUCACCGAGUAUGUUGCUUUCUGGUUCAUCCCACUGAAAUUGAUCUUGUCAGGGGUUACCUUAACAUUUACACCUUCUGGUGCAAAGACUUGAGGAGUGUACGCUGAGUUAGGUUGGCCAACAUUUGUUACUGUUCUUGUGUAUGUCUGUGGAGUAGACCCCAGUCUGAUGGAAAAUGACGGAUAAUUCAACUGAGCUUCAGGUAUGCUUGAAUCAUUUGAACAGUUCACCCCGUGCUGCACGAUGAGUCCUACCUGUUUGUCAGAAUAACCUAAUCCACAUAAGUAAGGAAUGUAAUCAUCAGGU